UUACAAAACAGCAUUUUAGAUUUACAAGUGUACAUAUUUCUCACUAACCUUCACAAACUACAAGAGGAAAAAAUGCCAAACAUAAUAGAUCCAUACAGAAACACAGUUCUGAAAGAGCAUGUUC